UCGUCCUCCUCCUUCUUUUUCUUCUUCUUCUCUGUCUGUCUCUGUCUCUGUCUGUCUCUCUGUCUCUCUGUCUCUGUCUCUGUGUCUCUGUCUCUGUCUGUCUCUUGUCUCUCUGUCUCUCUCUGUCUCUCUCUGUCUCUCUCUGUCUCUCUCUCUCUCAGCUGUCUCUCAGCUGUCUCUGGCUUGCCAGCUGAGUGUUCUGCCCUGGGGCAUCAGCAGUAAAGAGAAAGUUCCUUUUAUACACUGUGGACUGGAAUCCACAAAUCAUGUGAGGAGCUGGGUUGUGUCUUUCUGCCACAUUCCUGUCCCAAGCUGCCCUGAGGCUGCUCCUCACUGGGCUGAGGCCCAGGGAACCAUCUGGAACCAGGUCUUAAUCCAAAGGUGGGUUUGGUGUUGUUUCAGUUUCCUGCCACCCUUGACGAGGUUGCUCUCAGCUUCCUGUUUGUGGUUGUGAUGUGAACUCAGCUUCCUGCU
rnacentral:lncRNA from 1 species